CUCUAUUGCCUGUCACCCUCGUUCCCCACGCCGUCGACAGAUGGUGGCGCUCUGGCCCAACCCCACAACCAUCGUCUUCUGCCAGCUUGGAUGCGAGUGGAGGCAAAAGGAAGAUGCACGUCGCGCUAGCUUGGAUGCGAGCCCGCGGCUGUAGCUCCCCCUAACGAGCCGCGCACCCCGUCCCUAGGCCCAGAUCCCGUCCUCCCUACGCAGGCUUGUGCGUCGCCGGCAAUGGAGGUCGCAUACUCCUCCUCGCUCACUUCUCCGUACCGAAUGUCGACAUCAAAUCUGGUUUUUCCUGGUGGCAGUGGCCUCAAUACUGGUGCCUACAGACCUCGUGUCCGAGUCCGUCACUCCGGCUCUUCCCGCACCCCCUGCCCGGCGGCCCCUUGCUCCGUUCUGCUCGCCUGUCCAAUGUUCGGUCCAACCCCACCCCCACUCCCCAACCACUAGCGGACUGAGAUAGAUUUUAAUUCCAUCGUUUUUUUACAAAUUAGUUUGGGCUGAUUUUGUAUUAACGCACGAUUCUUUCCUGUCAUCCCCUUAGACGUAGCAAUCAUAGGGCCAUAUCAAAUAGCUAGAUGGACUGGCUAAUGACUUUACUGAUUAUAUCUAAUACAUAAAUAUACUUCUGUAUGAACCUUGCUGUACAUCUGGGAACUCAAAGAGCGAGCUGAUUAAGAUAUCUUCUGAUUAAUAUGUGUUAUGCUUUCAGCUUCUACAUGAACAUGUCAUGAACCUCUCACCUCUAUAAAGUAUACACCGCAUCUAAGAACAUGCCGAGUAACAUUGGGGUAUGUGUUGAUUACAAUAUGUAGCUUGCUAAUUCAGUUAUGCAGGUAUGUUAGAGCAUGGGCCACUAUACCUUCGUGAGGACACACUAAAUUUUCUGACACCCCUUUUGCUAAGUAAGGUUUGAGCCUCCCUUCUCAUGGUGUUGUUUCUACAAUCAGUGGUAAAUAUUCACGGUGGCCUGCUGAGUAUAGCGUUACCAACAUUAUAUCAAUUUGACUGCCGAUGCGCCACUCUGGAGUCUGGACUGGCCAAACUGGAAGGCAGCGACUUGUCGGUAGAGUAGAGGCAAGGCAAGAGGAGGCCAUCUUCACAUCCACUCCUUCAACUGCUACCUGUGGUAGAACAAAAAGAUUGCAUUCUCCUGUGACCUCUUGCAUCUUGGACCUUCAAUAAUCUGUUGAGCUGUUCGUGCAAUGUUUCAUUUGACUGAUAAUACUGAGAUAAACAUGUGAUGCACACUGAUUGCCAUAUAUAAGCUACUGCAGUAUAAUACUAAUAUAACUCACUAGGUAAUUGAUUUGAUGCUAA